AUAGACACAUCUGUCUAUCUAGUAAAGGUGCCAUGACUUUUUAUUCAUUAUAAAUAUGGAUGAGUUUUUUCAAUCCAGAUAUAUACUACUUCUACUUCUUCUUCUUUUCUUCUAGUCUCUCUAAAUUCAGUUCGUAUAAAGAGUUCUUAAGGGAAAUCUUCAGGAGUUGCUGUCUGCAGAUUUCAGGCUUUGUUGUAUCCUGGAGGUAUAUUGCCAUAA
rnacentral:misc_RNA from 1 species